UGCGUUGAAACAGCAGCAGCAGCAGCGGCGGUUGUCAAAGUUGUGGCCACUACACUGAACUUUGAGGAUUAGCCACCAGAAGAUAAAGGGAAACGUUGUGCUGCUCUCGUGUCAGUAGAUAUUAGACAACACUUCAAUGUGCGGUGGUUUAAUCCACAACGCGACCCGCUGCAGUGUGUUGGUGCUCAACACGUCAGGCUGUAAUCGGAGGUGCAGCAGCCAGAGGGCAGCCAUCUUGGAUAUCUCCUCCUCACCCGACAAGAUACAUUACCCCUUUGCAUUCCUUUAACGGAAACAUUUCACUUGGCCUGGCAAACAUGAAUCCAGGGUGGCAAGAAGAAUGGCCAUACUCUUGAGUAGUGUAGAAAUCUUGCUGCACCAGACUGGAAGAUCUUCAGCUUGGCCAUGUACCUGCUUGGGAUUUACUGAGAAGUGCUCUUGAUUGAGCGCAGCAGAAACUGGUAGGAGCUGGUGAAGCUCAUGCUCUAAUUCUUCCAGCUCCCUCUCAACUUCUGAGACCUUGUGCAUGACCUGAAGGUUCUCAAUUUGCUUCUCAAUACGGUUUAGGUCGGCUUCUGUCAUCAGUUCACCAAACGGGCCCAAAAUUGCAUUGUGGAUGUGGGAGUAGUGCCAUUCCUGAGGCUGGUAGUGCCCUCUUGUUGCAAACUAAAUCAGAGGUCAAGGAGACCAGAAGACAAGAAAAAAGGAAGGAGGGAAGGAUUCCUUCAGCUUGAAGCUCCUGGUGUGAAUACACGCUUCAGUGCAAGUCCAUCCUAACACAGGUUUUACAUGGAUUUAGUGGUGCAAUGGCACUGCCUCAUUAACAGCACAAAACUUCCUACUUUAAUUUUGAGCCAAAGAGAACAGUGAAAGCUAUGUACUUUUUAUCUUAAAAUUUAAGUUUUUCAAUAGUUAUAUACAGAAUGUUGAUCUUUUACAGGCUUCCAUGUCUAUAUUUGACACUGAGACUUUUAAUCUGUAUUUGCUAAAUCCCUCUUUAGUUUCUCUCCCCCAUUUUUUAAAACUUUUAGUUGUUUUCUUAAGAUUCAGAAGUGACUUUGCAAACACUGAGAAUUCUGUUUUUACUGACACCCACUAGUUGAAAUGCUGCAUGUUCUGUCUGCAAACCACAUAUUAUGUAACACUGCAGUGUGACAUCACUGUUGGGUAUUGGCCCCAGUGCAGCAGACAGACACGACACUGUCACUAAAGGAAACUGUCAACCCAGAGAGGUUGAGAGGUUGUUUGAUGUGGAAUUACUCAGGUUCUGAUCUUCUUGACAAAAAAGUGAAUAAAAAUA